UAGAAAGAUAAGUAUUAAAGA
rnacentral:piRNA from 1 species